rnacentral:rRNA from 1 species
GACGAACGCUGGCGGCGUGCUUAACACAUGCAAGUCGAACGGUGAAGCUCCAGCUUGCUGGAGUGGAUCAGUGGCGAACGGGUGAGUAACACGUGAGCAACCUGCCCCUGACUCUGGAAUAAGCGCUGGAAACGGCGUCUAAUACUGGAUACGAGAAGGGUCCGCAUGGGCACUUUCUGGAAAGUUUUUCGGUUGGGGAUGGGCUCGCGGCCUAUCAGCUUGAUGGUGAGGUAAUGGCUCACCAAGGCGACGACGGGUAGCCGGCCUGAGAGGGCGACCGGCCACACUGGGACUGAGACACGGCCCAGACUCCUACGGGAGGCAGCAGUGGGGAAUAUUGCACAAUGGGCGAAAGCCUGAUGCAGCGACGCCGCGUGAGGGAUGACGGCCUUCGGGUUGUAAACCUCUUUCAGCAGGGAAGAAGCGAAAGUGACGGUACCUGCAGAAGAAGCACCGGCUAACUACGUG